rnacentral:rRNA from 1 species
GUGGGGCGAAAUAUUUUGCACAAUCGGGCGCAAGCCUGAUGCAGCCAUGCCGCGUGUAUGAAGAAGGGCCCCGGGUUGUAAAGUACUUUCUUUGGGAGGAAAGUGUUGUGCUUAAUAACCACAUCACUUGACGUUCCCCGCAAAAAAAGCACCGGCUACCUCCGCGCCACCCGCCGCGAAAAAUAUAAAA